CAAAAGCAAGACAUAACAUAUAUACUUUUGCUUCCCCUUAGGGUAAGAGGUUGCUGCAAGGUCACCUGGGAUUUUACUCACCACCCUCAGCCUACAAGUGAAGUAUCACUCUCACUCCCUGACUGACUGAAAUGCGCUGGGACAUGUAGAUUUUUCAGAGGCUCCAAAGGAGUGGAGGAUAAGAGUGGAAACUAGAUAAGAAGGUGUGUUCAGUUCAUCAAGAAUUCUCAGUGAUUCAUAUUAUUCAGAAUAACACAAUCUUCCCCUGUACAUGAAGAAACCUGGAAGCAGAGAAGCCAUCCACUCUCCUCAUGUCCCUCAGCCAGUGAUCCACUGCAAAAGUAAGUUCAUGUUCUCCAACUGGUUUAUCACUUGCUGCCAGUGAACAAUUUCUGUACCUGGGAAACAAUAUCCAUGAAGAUAAAAGUAAAUAUCCUUAUUUACAAGGACUUGAGGAUGUAAGGGAAUGGAGGAAAGCUCAAAAUUAAAAUUGUUAGCCUCUAUGGAGGCAGUAGAAAACAUUUAGGAGUGAUAUUAAAAACUCUUAAAGAGAAAAACUUAAGACACAAGAACAAUGUAAAGAAAUAAGAUCAUAUCUAAAUGUAAGUAUUCAAUAGAUAAAUUGGAAAAAAAUCUGAUACACAUGUUCUUUUUUAAAGUAUA